rnacentral:lncRNA from 1 species
UAUUACAAAGCCUUGGCUCUUUCCAUUGGGCCACAUGAGCCAUCUAGGACCUGCUGGUCUGCCUUUCCAGACCCAUUGCUCAUUACUCCCUCUCCUUCCUCUCUCUUUACACCCUGUUUCAAUUUUAAUUUAUGCCUUCACCAUUUCACUAGAGAAGAGAAACAAAAUAUGCUUCCAUCCAAGAGAGAGAUCAUGUAAGAAAGGAGUGCCUUAGUGGUAGAAACUCUGAAGGGUACAUCAGAGGACUUAAGAUUAAAACAAAGCUGAGCCCAAAAGCUGGUGGAAUGGGCUCACCAGGAAAAGGGAAUUGGGAUUCCCUGAAGACACAAGUCACAGAUGAAACA